CUAAUAUCCUCUGAACAUUUCUCCAAGAAGGAGGUGAAUAUUCCUGUGUGAUUAAACCACAAUGAAUAAGAAGGAUGAAAGAUCAUUAACCCUGCAGGGAAAUCCUAACACUGAUGCUUCCAUCCACAGAUACAACAUUCACUUUUAAGUGAGUACCAGUCUGAUAUGAGUUGCUGAAGAUGGGUGAGCUGAGGAAGAAGCAAAUGAUGUUGGUGCUGUUAAGAUACUGGAAAUGGCCAGUUCUGCUGUGCAAAAGGGGCAGGACAAACAGCAUUCCCCGCAGAGAAUGCUUAUUAAGCAGCAUUUCUCAGUGGGAUAGUGCGAAACAGGCUCUUUUUCGUCUUCCCUCGUUGCCUGUUGGUAUUGAUUUACAAAGUCCUAAAUGGCUCAAGACUUUUCUGUCUAAGAGAGCUUCACAGCUGUGAUCAGGAGCAGUGCUUACAGUAGAGUCCCCAUCAUUGUAAAAGAAAAAGGGUAGCAUGAUAGAGCGUUCUCUCUACGGGGACAGAUUUGAAAAUGCUUCUCGUGUUUGCUUUGAAACAAUGUGGUGCAUGGCUGAUAUUUAGGGCACGCUAUUUGAGGGAAUCCAUGAAUGCCCCUAGAAAAGGAAGGAAGAAAUAAGGGGGGGUUGAUUAUGAUGAUUUGUUGGAUCUCUUUUUGUUCUGAGAUUUGUUGGCAGGCUUUGCUACUAAUUUGAUCUCAUUUGUUUUGGUAAUUUGAU